GCUCCGGUGGCCUAAGUGGCUGAGCGUCCGCCUCAGAUACGGAAGAUCGCGGGUUCAAACCCCGGCCGAGUCA